UCUACUAGGAAUUACUCAGGUGGUAGAUUUGUAGGUGGGGGAGAUCGUAAGACCAAGAACUCGAAUAGUAACGCAGGGACGCAAGAUUUAGACAGGUUCGGACCUCCGGAGAGUAAUACCCUACGUCCUGUGUUCUGGGGGAUUGUAUUGCUGAUUGCGGGUGCGAAGAGUUAAUGUGCCGUGGGGGACGCUCCUGGCCGCCUUAUAUAGACUGACGACCUAAGGUUACAAGCGGAUACGAUCUAAUCCUAGUUGGUUGUUAC
rnacentral:lncRNA from 1 species